UUCACUUUCAAACCCUAGCAGCCACAACACCAUCUCUGGAAUAGCAUCGGCACCUGCUUCCUAAAACCAAAACCACACAAACUCGGCUUCAUUUUUGUAACUCGAGAGCUUCGGUGGGAUGAAGGAGAAGUGCAGGGAGAUGGACUCGAGUCGGCGGGCGGAAGAGAUCUUCAGGGAUUACAGUGGUCGGAGAACCGAAGCCGUCCACGCUUUAACUAACGAGAGAGAGAGAUAGGAGGAGGUGACCUAGAACUCACCGCAGGCCUGUAAUGCUUAUGCUUCACCGGGGCCUCGAUUUGCAAGCUUUGUGGCUUAUCAGAGGCUACCGUAUUUGGAUUUUGCUGGAAGAAGGUUUCGAAUUGGACGAUUGGAAGACAAAAAGGUUAUAAUUGUUAUGACUGGAUUGAGCAUGCUCAAUGCAGGCAUCUCAACUCAAUUACUACAAACCCUAUUCAAGGUGAAAGCUAUUGUACACUAUGGAAUUGCAGGAAAUGCAGAUC